UACGAGGGGUGCAAGCGUUGCUCGGAAUCAUUGGGCGUAAAGGGUAGGUAGGUGGUCUCAUUUGUCUGGGGUGAAAGCCCAGGGCUUAACCCUGGAAGUGCCCCGGAAACGGCGAGACUGGAGUCUUGGAGAGGGUCGUGGAAUUCCCGGUGUAGCGGUGAAAUGCGCAGAUAUCAGGAGGAACACCGGUGGCGAAGGCGGGUCUCUGGGCCGAUACUGACGCUGAGGAGCGAAAGCGUGGGGAGCGAACAGG
rnacentral:rRNA from 1 species